rnacentral:rRNA from 1 species
UACGAAGGGGGCUAGCGUUGUUCGGAAUCACUGGGCGUAAAGCGCGUGUAGGCGGCUUUGCAAGUCGGGUGUGAAAGCCCUCAGCUCAACUGAGGAAGUGCGCCCGAAACUGCAGAGCUUGAGUACCGGAGAGGAUGGUGGAAUUCCCCAAGUAGAGGUGAAAUUCGUAGAUAUGGGGAGGAACACCGGUGGCGAAGGCGACCAUCUGGACGGAUACUGACGCUGAGACGCGAAAGCGUGGGUAGCAAACAGG